rnacentral:rRNA from 1 species
CCUACGGGUGGCAGCAGUGGGGAAUAUUGCACAAUGGGGGAAACCCUGAUGCAGCGACGCCGCGUGAGUGAAGAAGUAUUUCGGUACGUAAAGCUCUAUCAGCAGGGAAGAAAAUGACGGUACCUGACUAAGAAGCUCCGGCUAACUACGUGCCAGCAGCCGCGGUAAUACGUAGGGGGCAAGCGUUAUCCGGAUUUACUGGGUGUAAAGGGCGUGUAGCCGGGCUGGCAAGUCAGAUGUGAAAUCCCGGGGCUCAACCCCGGAACUGCAUUGGAAACUGUGGGGCUUGAGUGCCGGAGAGGCAAGCGGAAUUCCUAGUGUAGCGGUGAAAUGCGUAGAUAUUAGGAGGAACACCAGUGGCGAAGGCGGCCUGCUGGACGGUAACUGACGGUGAGGCGCGAAAGCGUGGGGAGCAAACAGGAUUAGAUACCCUAGUAGUC